UACGAAGGGGGCGAGCGUUGUUCGGAAUCACUGGGCGUAAAGAGCGUGUAGGCGGCCAAACAGGUCCGUUGUGAAAACUGGAGGCUCAACCUCCAGACGUCGACGGAAACCGUGUGGCUAGAGUCCGGGAGAGGUGAGUGGAAUUCCCAGUGUAGCGGUGAAAUGCGUAGAUAUUGGGAGGAACACCAGUGGCGAAGGCGGCUCACUGGACCGGAACUGACGCUGAGGCGCGAAAGCGUGGGGAGCAAACAGG
rnacentral:rRNA from 1 species